UGCGCCUUGCCAGCCCGCUCAGAAACUCAAAGGAAGUUGACGGGGCCCGCACAAGCAGCGGAGCAUGUGGUUUAAUUCGAAGCAACGCGAAGAACCUUACCAAGACUUGACAUCCCCUGACAGCUGUUGAAAGGCAGUGUCUCUUCGGAGCAGGGAGACAGGUGGUGCAUGGUUGUCGUCAGCUCGUGUCGUGAGAUGUUGGGUUAAGUCCCGCAACGAGCGCAACCCUUAUCCUUAGUUACCAGCACGUAAAGGUGGGGACUCUAGGGAGACCGCCGGGGACGACUCGGAGGAAGGUGGGGAUGACGUCAAGUCAUCAUGGCCCUUACGGCCUGGGCUACACACGUGCUACAAUGGUCGGUACAAAGGGUUGCCAAGCCGCGAGGUGGAGCUAAUCCCAUAAAACCGAUCGUAGUCCGGAUCGCAGUCUGCAACUCGACUGCGUGAAGUCGGAAUCGCUAGUAAUCGUGAAUCAGAAUGUCACGGUGAAUACGUUCCCGGGCCUU
rnacentral:rRNA from 1 species